rnacentral:tRNA from 1 species
CGCACCGGAUUGUGGCUCCGGCACUCGUGGGUUCAAGUCCCAUCGAUCGCC